UACGUAGGUGGCAAGCGUUGUCCGGAUUUACUGGGCGUAAAGAGCGCGCAGGCGGUCGUUCAAGUCGCGUGUGAAAGCCCCCGGCUCAACUGGGGAGGGUCACGCGAUACUGAUCGACUCGAAGGCAGGAGAGGGUAGUGGAAUUCCCGGUGUAGUGGUGAAAUGCGUAGAUAUCGUAAGGAAGGCCGGUGGCGAAAGCGAGCCUCUGGACAGUUACUGACGCUGAUGCACGAAGGCCAGGGGAGCAAACGGG
rnacentral:rRNA from 1 species